rnacentral:rRNA from 1 species
CUGUGUCCUUCGACGCCGGUUCACCGCCUGUCGGUGCCAACUGGCGUUUUGCGGGACGUCCUGUCGGUGGUGUGUCAGGAGUCUUAGUUGUGCUAACUUGCUUAGUGCAGCUCUGGCUUCGGGCCACUUUCAUAAUCCCGCCGCGGUGCUCUUAAUCGAGUGUCGAGGCGGGCCGGCACGUUUACUUUGAACAAAUUAGAGUGCUUCAAGCAGGCUUGUCACGCCUGUAUACUGUGUGCAUGGAAUAAUGGAAUAGGACCUCGGUUCUAUUUUGUUGGUUUCCGGAAUCUGAGGUAAUGAUCAAUGGGGACAGGCGGGGGCAUUCGUAUUGCGACGUUAGAGGUGAAAUUCUUGGAUCGUCGCAAGACGGACCGAAGCGAAAGCAUUUGCCAAGUAUGUUCCCGUCGAUCAAGAACGAAAGUUAGAGGUUCGAAGGCGAUCAGAUACCGCCCUAGUUCUAACCAUAAACAAUGCCUGCCAGCGAUCCGCCGGCGUCCCUCCGAUGACCCGGCGGGCAGCUUCCGGGAAACCAGAGCUUUUGGGUUCCGGGGGAAGUAUGGUUGCAAAGCUGAAACUUAAAGGAAUUGACGGAAGGGCACCACCAGGAGUGGAGCCUGCGGCUUAAUUUGACUCAACACGGGAAAACUCACCAGGCCCGGACACCGGAAGGAUUGACAGAUUGAUAGCUCUUUCUUGAUUCGGUGGGUGGUGGUGCAUGGCCGUUCUUAGUUGGUGGAGCGAUUUGUCUGGUUAAUUCCGAUAACGAACGAGACUCUAGCCUACUAACUAGACGUAUCUGGUAUCAGCAAUCGUGCUACCAGCGAUCAUAUCUCUUCUUAGAGGGACAGGCGGCUUCUAGCCGCACGAGACUGAGCAAUAACAGGUCUGUGAUGCCCUUAGAUGUCCUGGGCCGCACGCGCGCUACACUGAAGGAAUCAGCGUGUCUUCCCUGUCCGAAAGGACCGGGUAACCCGCUGAACCUCCUUCGUGCUUGGGAUUGGGGCUUGCAAUUGUUCCCCAUGAACGAGGAAUUCCCAGUAAGCGCGAGUCAUAAGCUCGCGUUGAUUACGUCCCUGCCCUUUGUACACACCGCCCGUCGCUACUACCGAUUGAAUGAUUUAGUGAGGUCUUCGGACCGGUGCGCGGAGGCGGUUUUCCGCUCCCGAUGUUGUGCGGAAAG